AUUCCAUGAUGAGGGCACUUUCAGAAUAAUUCUUUGUACAUUUCCCAUACCUCAUAUAAGGACUCAUCAUCCAUUUGUUAGAAGGUAGUAACCUCGUUCCUCAACUU
rfam:Gossypium raimondii chromosome 4, whole genome shotgun sequence.